GUUGAGCGCCACCUCUCCUCCGCCCAUCUAUAAAAAACCUCCGACUCCUCUCCUCCGCCCGGAGAAGCGCGUGCCAUAGAGAGAGAAAUAGGGAGGGGAAGGGGAGGCAAUGGAUUCCGGCGAUGCAGGAGGCCGCGAAAGGCCUUCCCCGGCGGCGCCCACUCCGGAGUCUCUGGCUCUUCUUCGAGAAGGGAUCUCUCUCGUCCUCUCUCGAUGGACAGCGCUUCAGAUGGCGGUCCGAAACGAGUGGGGCGGAAGGGAUUCCGGCCAGAAAUCGGAGGAGCUCGCCUCCACCCUCCUCUCCUGGUUCUCCCAAUCCAGAACUCCACAUUAUGUUGAUGAUUUGGAAAAUAUACUUGACGAGAACAUGCUGCUGUCUUUCAAUACAACUAUCGAGGAUGGCAGCAUUGAGGAGAUUGCAGAGCAAUUGAUGAUUAUGCAUGAAGACUGCAUUCAGGUCAACCAUGAAUCAGUCAAAAAGCUAAAGAAGUCGAUUCAUAUGAAACGUGCUGCUCCUCAGAUUAGACAGGGGACUAGUUUCUUUUUGUAAAUUAACACAAACAUAAUGAUGGGUCAUUUUCUCUGCCAAUACAGAGACAUGCCAUGACUUGGAGGUCAAUAAUGCUAUAGGUGAAACAUCAGAAUGAAGAAGAAUGUUGAGAUUGAACUGAAGCCCAAAGAGAUGGCCUGGAGGUACGCCAAAGUUGCAGUUGCCGCACAUAAAGGUCAAGAAUGCAAGGGACUUCGGGUCUGAUAAUGUAUCAUGAAAGUAUGACCCUGUUUCAUGUAUGAGAUAACUACUUUUGCUUCAUCUCUUGCUAUUGUUUUACCAUGAGUUUUUAACCUAUUCUGUUGUUAAUCAUAUAUGUUAUAAGAAAUUUGUUCAAUAUAAUACUUCUUUAUGGAUUUACUGACAAA